rnacentral:lncRNA from 1 species
AAACGUAUGUGACUGCAACAACCAGAAUGCAACGAUCACUCUGAAAUGCGCGUCCCGUGCCAGCCCUCUCGCAUAUGCAGCUAAAGCCGAUGCCACGUCUCUCGACACAGUUCGGAGCCACACGCCCAAACUACCCAUGAAGCGUUGGGCUCUGAGCAGGUUACCGGGACUAGAGGAGACUGGCCGUGGUCCGCUGAAAAUAAAAAAAAUAAUAAUAAUUUUAAAAAUGUACACUAAAAAAAAUAUAAUAAAAUAAAAUAAUAAAAUAAAAAAUAAAUAAAAUAAAAUAACAAAAUAAAAUAAAAUAAAAUAAAUAAAAUAAAAUAAAAUAAUAAAAUAAAAUAAAUAAAAUAAAAAAAAAUAAACGAACUGCCAAUCAGUCUCCCCAGCCUCUCGGAUCGCUGUUACGGCAACCAAUAAGCGCCUUCUUCUUGCCGCGCCCGGGCGGGACCGCGCUAACCAGAAGACCUCGGGGAAAUACGAGCUAUUCUGGGAGACGCGGCAGCCGGUGCCCCCGCUGGAAAUUUUAGGUUUGGGAUACCCUCCCAGCUGAGUGGAAUUGUUGAAAUGUAGCGCCCCUUUGGUUGAGGAUGGGAGGGGAUGGGGCGGAGCAAGGCUGGAGGCAGUGCUGAGCGGAGGUCUCUGCCAAUUCCAGCGAGUCCUCGUACCUCCUAGCGUGGUCCACCGAUCCGUAGUCUAGUUCUUUCCUGGUGGUAACCCCCCUUUUAGAGAAUUGGAUACUUGUUGAGUCCUCUUCCCUUCUGGACAACGCCAAUGUCUUCGGAACUUCCUUACCUACCCUUUGCAGUUACUCCAGGAAGCCUUCCUUGACCCUUUCCCCUUUCUGAUUUCACUGGACUUAUAUUUGAGUUCCCUGCAUAACCUAUGCAUUUUCCUAACCCUGUACUCUUACUUAUGUACUUUUCUGUCUUCCCCACUAGUUUGUGAUUUAUUUUUGAGUCCUUAGCACAGUAUCUGGAGGUGUUGUAGCGCUAUUUUCUCAAUGAAAUCUUAAGCAGAAUGCUGAUGUAUUAACCAAAUAACAAAGCUCUUCUAGUAGGUGUGAAGAGGGAGUGUCCAGAGCCUUGAACCCCCCAAGAAAACCCUUGAGGCACUCAUUAUUAGUGACUUAAGCUAAAUAUUCACCUUAAUAUAUAUAUUAAUAUAUAUAGAAUAAUAUAAUACUAUAUAUAUAUACACACACAUAUAUAUACAUAUAUAUAUAUAUAUAUAUAAACAUGGUUUACCCAGGACAUGAAAAUUAAACAUGUCCGGAUCCUCUAGGAGCACUCUUAAAAUCUCAUCUUUU